GAACGUCGUGAGACAGUUCGGUCCAUAUCCGGUGUAGGCGUUAGAAUAUUGAGAGGAGCCUUCUUUAGUACGAGAGGACCGAGAAGGACACACCACUGGUGUACCAGUUAUCAUGCCAAUGGUAAACGCUGGGUAGCUAAGUGUGGAGUGGAUAACCGCUGAAAGCAUCUAAGCGGGAAGCCCCUUCCAAGAUGAGAUCUCCCUGGACCCUUGAGGUCCCUGAAGAGCCGUUCAAGACCAGGACGUUGAUAGGUCGGGUGUGUAAGCGCUGCGAGGCGUUGAGCUAACCGAUACUAAUUGCUCGU
rnacentral:rRNA from 1 species